CUACGUGCCAGCAGCCGCGGUAAUACGUAGGUGGCAAGCGUUGUCCGGAAUUAUUGGGCGUAAAGCGCGCGCAGGCGGAUCUGCCAGUCUGUCUUAAAAGUUCGGGGCUCAACCCCGYGAUGGGAUGGAAACUACAGAUCUAGAGUAUCGGAGGGGAAAGUGGAAUUCCUAGUGUAGCGGUGAAAUGCGUAGAUAUUAGGAGGAACACCAGUGGCGAAGGCGACUUUCUGGACGAUCACUGACGCUGAGGCGCGAAAGCCAGGGGAGCGAACGGGAUUAGAUACCCCGGUAGUCCUGGCCGUAAACGAUGGGUACUAGGUGUAGGAGGUAUCGACCCCUUCUGUGCCGUAGCUAACGCAUUAAGUGCCCCGCCUGGGGAGUACGGCCGCAAGGCUAAAACUCAAAGAAAUUGACGGGGGCCCGCACAAGCGGCGGAGCAUGCGGAUUAAUUCGAUGCAACGCGAAGAACCUUACCAAGGCUUGACAU
rnacentral:rRNA from 1 species